GUGCCAGCAGCUGCGGUAAUACCGGCAGCCCGAGUGAUGACCGAUCUUAUUGGGCCUAAAGCGUCCGUAGCCGGCCGGACGGGUCCGUCGGGAAAUCCACACGCCCAACGUGUGGGCGUCCGGCGGAUACCAUCCGGCUCGGGACCGAACGACCCGAGGGGUACGUCCGGGGUAGGAGUGAAAUCCUGUAAUCCCGGACGGACCGCCGAUGGCGAAAGCACCUCGGGAGGACGGACCCGACGGUCAGGGACGAAAGCUGGGGCCUCGAACCGGAUUAGAAACCUGUGUAGUCC
rnacentral:rRNA from 1 species